CCCCGCCCGCCGGACCCGGGCCCAGGCAGCUGCAGCCCCAGGUCACGGCCAAGCCCGCCCUGGGUGUCCAUCAGCAACCCGCGGCAUGCAGAGCUCUGGGCAUCGGGACACCCACACCCACGCGCACCACGUGGCCACCUGCACCGCAGGGAACGCGGCUUGGAUCCGCUGCAGAGGCCCAGUCUGAAGGGGUUGGCCUGCCAUCCAAACAUUGGAGGCAGAGGCAGGAGGACCAGGAGUUCGAGGUCAGCCUCCCCUACAUAUUUUCUGGAAAAUAUGAGACCUUGCCUCAAACAAACAAACAGAAGGAAGAACGGAAGAAAAGAUAAAAGCCCGCUGUUCUGGUGUGUGGUCUAGGCGUGUGCCCUUGCCCAGCUGAGGCCCUGGAUCCACCCGCACACUGGAAGGAACACCUGACAAAAGUUUACUUUGUAUCUUUAAAGAUUCUGCCCAGCCUGACAGCCUAGGGCGGAUCCCUGAGACCCACUUAGAAGACAGCGGGACAGCUCCAACAACUUGUCCUCUGAUUUCCACACAGAGAAACUGAUAAAGAAAAUGUUAUUUAAAUUUCAUUUUAAUUAUUAGAUUUAUUUAUUUGGA